CCACCAUAAAGGCUAACAACAUUAAUUUGUAGAAGAUACCUAACGAAACCAAUCAAACCAUUUUCCUUAUCUAAGUAUGGGGGACAGAAAAGACCGUAAGAGAGCGAUAGAGGAAGUACCGCAAGGGAAAGAUGAAAGAGGAAUGAAAUAACCCAUUUAAGCACAAGAAAACAGGGAUUAAGCCCCGUACCUUUUGCAUCAUGAUUUAGCCAGCAACUAUUAAGCAAAGAGACCUGUAGUUUAGUUCCCCGAAACCAGGUGAGCUACCCCGAGACAGCCUACAAAUCUAGGGCCAACCCGUCUCUGUGGCAACAGAGUGGGAAGAUCUCCCGGUAGAGGUGACAGACCUAUCGAACCUGGUCAUAGCUGGUUGCCUAAGAAGUGAAUAAAAGUUCAGCCUGGUACACCUCCACGUUUAAAUAAUAUUAAAAACUUAGGAACAUAUACUAGAGUUAGUCGGAGGGGGGACAGCCCCUUUGACAAAGGACACAACCUUUACAGGUGAAUAAAGAUCAAAAUUUUUAAGGCAAAUUGUUUUGGUGGGCCUAAAAGCAGCCAUCCAACCAGAAGGCGUUAAAGCCCGAACAAGAAGAAGUCAGUUAUAUCGAAAAUACAAUCUUAAUUCCCUAAGAGUAUUAGGCCGCCCCAUGCCCAUCAUGGGAGAGAUAAUGCUAAAAUGAGUAAAUAGAAGAUUAGAACUUCUCCUGGCACAAGUGUAAGUCGGAUCGGACUGACCACCGAUAAUUUACGGGCCCAAAUAAAAGAGGGAAUUGUGACCUACAUAAUAAUCAAGAAGACCCCACAAUAAUUACCGUUACCCCCACACUGGAGUGCACCUUAGGAAAGACUAAAAGGGGGGGAAGGAACUCGGCAAACACAAGCCUCGCCUGUUUACCAAAAACAUCGCCUCCUGCGACUAAACCGUAUAGGAGGUCCAGCCUGCCCGGUGACUAUCGGUUAAACGGCCGCGGUAUUCUGACCGUGCAAAGGUAGCGUAAUCACUCGUCCUUUAAAUGGGGUCAAGUAUGAAAGGCUAAACGAAGGCUUAACUGUCUCCCCUCCCCAGUCAGUGAAAUUGAUCUAUCCGUGCAGAAGCGGGUAUAAAAAUACAAGACGAGAAGACCCUUUGGAGCUUAAGGUACAGCACUUAACCACAUUAAGCAAGUCAAUAAAAACCUAAAUUCCCCUAGUGGCAACUAAGACUCUACCUUCGGUUGGGGCGACCACGGAGCAAAGGAUAACCUCCUAGUGGAAUGGGAAAACUCCUAGAGCUGAGAGGCCCACCUCUAAGCCACAGAAAUUCUGACCAAAAUGAUCCGGCCAUCUGGCCGAUAAACGAACCAAGUUACCCUAGGGAUAACAGCGCAAUCCUCUUCCAGAGCCCAUAUCGACAAGAGGGUUUACGACCUCGAUGUUGGAUCAGGACAUCCUAAUGGUGCAGCCGCUAUUAAGGGUUCGUUUGUUCAACGAUGAAAGUCCUACGUGAUCUGAGUUCAGACCGGAGUAAUCCAGGUCAGUUUCUAUCUGUAAAGCUAUUUUUCCCCAGUACGAAAGGACAGGGAAAGGGGGGCCCAUGCCCAAAGUAUGCCCCAUCCUAAAUUUAUGAAUAAAGAUAAAUCAAGAAAAGGAGGCUAUAAAGCCUGCGCUCUAGAUAAGAGUUA
rnacentral:rRNA from 1 species